rnacentral:tRNA from 1 species
GGAGAAAUGGCUUAGUGGUUUAGAGUACUAGGUGAUCUUCUAGAGGACUUGGGUUCAAUUCCCAAUACCUACA